rnacentral:rRNA from 1 species
CAGCAGCCGCGGUAAUACGUAGGUGGCAAGCGUUGUCCGGAAUUAUUGGGCGUAAAGCGCGCGCAGGCGGAUCAGUUAGUCUGUCUUAAAAGUUCGGGGCUUAACCCCGUGAGGGGAUGGAAACUGCUGAUCUAGAGUAUCGGAGAGGAAAGUGGAAUUCCUAGUGUAGCGGUGAAAUGCGUAGAUAUUAGGAAGAACACCAGUGGCGAAGGCGACUUUCUGGACGAAAACUGACGCUGAGGCGCGAAAGCCAGGGGAGCGAACGGGAUUAGAUACCCCCGUAGUCCCUGUCUCUUAUACA